rnacentral:rRNA from 1 species
GUCUAUGGCCAUGCCACCUUGAAUAAGCCCGAUGUCUGAUCUCAGAAACUAAACAGGGUCGGGCCUGGUUAGUACAUGGAUGGGAAACCACCUAGGAAGACCAGGUGCUAUAGGCA